rnacentral:rRNA from 1 species
AAUGCCGGAUGCUCCAGUUGAUCGCAUGGUCUUCUGGGAAAGCUUUCGUGGUAUGGGAUGGGGUCGCGUCCUAUCAGCUUGACGGCGGGGUAACGGCCCACCGUGGCUUCGACGGGUAGCCGGCCUGAGAGGGCGACCGGCCACAUUGGGACUGAGAUACGGCCCAGACUCCUACGGGAGGCAGCAGUGGGGAAUAUUGCACAAUGGGCGCAAGCCUGAUGCAGCGACGCCGCGUGAGGGAUGGAGGCCUUCGGGUUGUAAACCUCUUUUAUCGGGGAGCAAGCGAGAGUGAGUUUACCCGUUGAAUAAGCACCGGCUAACUACGUGCCAGCAGCCGCGGUAAUACGUAGGGUGCAAGCGUUAUCCGGAAUUAUUGGGCGUAAAGGGCUCGUAGGCGGUUCGUCGCGUCCGGUGUGAAAGUCCAUCGCUUAACGGUGGAUCCGCGCCGGGUACGGGCGGGCUUGAGUGCGGUAGGGGAGACUGGAAUUCCCGGUGUAACGGUGGAAUGUGUAGAUAUCGGGA